rnacentral:rRNA from 1 species
UACGAAGGGUGCUAGCGUUGUUCGGAAUCACUGGGCGUAAAGCGCGCGUAGGCGGCUAUCCAAGUCAGAGGUGAAAUCCCUGGGCUCAACCCAGGAACUGCCUUUGAAACUGUUUAGCUAGAGUGUCGGAGGGGAUGGCGGAAUUGCUAAUGUAGAGGUGAAAUUCGUAGAUAUUAGCAGGAACACCGGUGGCGAAGGCGGCCAUCUGGACGACAACUGACGCUGAGGCGCGAAAGUGUGGGGAUCAAACAGG